CUGACAGCUAGUCCAGGGAUACCCACUAAGGAAAAUGUCAAAGCAUUAAAUUAUGCCUUAGAGAGAAGGUUUACUGAAACAUCACAGUUUUCAUCAAGGGGAAUAGACCUUUUAUGAAUAUGUUAUGCAGGAUGGUGGCCUAUUAAGUCCUACAGGGAUGGUAAAAACACAGCUGGUCUGCUAAGACAACAAUGGGUACCAUGCAACAUUCUUGCAUGUAUGUAACUAAAAGUGUAUGUUCCACAAGAAAAGAACCAUCCUGGUGGUAAAGGGACAUGACCAUUUCCAUAUAUAAUGGGCUCCAACUUUGUACAAUUAAAUGAGGGUUGUCCCAAAGAAACACAUUUAUGCAUAUAGCCUUGAAGCUCAGCACAAGUGUCAGUUGCAUUUAUAGCAAUGGUGGGAGUAAGUAACAUCAUAGCAUUAAAAGGCUUAACAUUUUGAGGAUUUACCCAAUUAAAAGAAUCUUUAUAGGAUAUUGGUUUUUGGACACCUCUGUUGGAUCACAUAGUCAUAUUCACAAUUUCAUGUGCAGGACAGUACACAGGAAGAAGACAGGAGCCCAGUACACUUCCCAUAGCAAUAUCCUGGAGAAUACAAAUCUCAGAUGAGUUAACAGUUUCAGUCAAAGGAGUCCAGAUAUUACAAUGGAUUCUAGAAGUUAAGGGAUUUGAUCAUAUUAGAUUUCUCACAACCGGGGUACAAUAGCAGAAGAACAUUAUCAUAAGGAUCAAAACAUUUACGGAGUUUUGUGUAAGUUUAGCAAACAAAGCGAAUUUUCUGGAGUAUAUUCCAAUCCCAUUUGAGCCAGCAGCUGUUGAGCUUAAGCCAUUAAUGAUUUUAUAUCCCCACCAAAGUCACAAGAGGUCUGGUAACUAGGAGCCCUCUUUUAGUGUUUCUUCUCUUUUGAGGAGGGUGGUUUUCUUUUUCUUUGAUGGAAUCCUCGAUCAGGUUGUUAAGUCCCUGAUGCCAACUCAUAAUCGACAGGUCUCACACACUGAGCUGGAAACCAAGUAGGACCUGUUGGGAUAAGCCCAGCAGCAUAUCCUUUUCCUCAUGUGAUCAAAGGUACAGGGUCCUGCCACCCCGGAUCUGGUGGAAUUCUGUAUUUUUCAUAAAUUUUUGGCAAUCAUUGUUUAGGAAUGAAGUGUCUGUCUAAGGCAAAUGACCAAUUGUGAGUAUUAUCUUCAUACUGCAUAUUGAGUCUAUUUACUGUAAAUAAAACAAUAUUUAAAGAAUUAUUAAUAUGAGAGAGGCUGGGUCCCAUUUUUUGUUUUUGUUUUAAAAAGGCACGUUCUAAGAGUGUGAUGCCCUCAUUCAACCAAAGCUUGUCCAGUAGAAUUAUGAGGGAUCCCAUGAUUAAAAGUUAUAUUCCAUUGAUUAUAAAAUUUUGCAAAAGCACCAGAUAAAUAUGCAGGCCAUUAUCCAUUUUUUUUUAAAGAGAGAGAGAGAGAGAGAGAGAGAGAGAGAGAGAAUUUUAAUAUUCAUUUUUUAGUUUUCGGCAGACACAACAUCUUUGUAUGUGGUGCUGAGGAUCGAACCUGGGCCGCACGCAUGCCAGGGGAGCGCGCUACCGCUUGAACCACAUCCCCAGCCCCAACAUUAUCCAUUUUUAAAUGAAUAGGCUUGCCCAUGGUGGCAAAGCAAAGCAGCAAAUGAGAAAUGCAAGCCAAUACCUUUUCAGACCUAUGGGCACUAGUCUGAAUGAACCCAGAAUGGGUAUCAAUGGAAAUAAAAAGAAAGGAGUAAGAAUGAAAAGGAGGAAAAUAGGUAAAAUCCAUUUGCCAAACAGAAUUGGAAUAUAGGCCCCAUGGAUUCACAGAUUCCCACAUAGGAGCCUGAAAGGGCACACAGUGAGAAUAGUUGUUGACUAUAGCCCGAGCCUGUUGAAAAAAGAUGGAGAACUUUUUCAUUAAUGAGCGAGCAUUUUGAUAAAAAAUCCACGGGAUUUCACAGCAUCUGAAAACAAGGGAUAAAGGGAUUUCACCACUUCAUUUGCAUGAGUGUUACUCUCUGUCAAAGGUCCAGGAAUCUUGGUGUGGCUGUGUAUGUGAGUGAGGAAGAUAGGAGACAUAUGAUGCUACAAAAAAGUUUGAAGGGUUAAAAAAGAAACAGUAAAUUGGAAUCUAAAUGAGGAGACAAUACAGCCAUGGAAAUAUGAGGAACAAGCUUAGCUAUAUAUUAAGAAUCUGUAAUAAUGUUUAAAGUAAUAGAAAAUAAUCUCAGUGCCAGGAUAUUAGCAGCUAACUCAGCUUGCUGUGAAGAAAUUUGAGGUAGGGUAUAAUAUUCAGUCCAUUUACCAGUAAUCAAAACAGGCACUACUCCUCUUUGUUUAGCUCCAUCUGUAUACACAGCAUUAAUUCCAUCUACAAGAGGAACAGCCAAAAUUAAGGAAGAAGGGGAAUGUGUAACCUGGCAUAACAAAGAUAAUCAUCCAUCACGAGGCAUGUGAAAAUAGGCACUAAAAAAUUCUGUUAAUAUUGGUUAAUAAUAAGAUGAAAACUGUAAAUAUUGAAGAUGAAGAUUUUUUCCAUAGGUGAGG
rnacentral:lncRNA from 1 species